GACAGAGGGGGCAAGCGUUGCUCGGAAUUACUGGGCGUAAAGGGCGCGUAGGCGGCCUUGUAAGUGGGGUGUGAAAUCCCCCGGCUCAACCGGGGAACUGCAUCCCAGACUGCGAGGGCUUGAGGGCAGCAGAGGAAACGGGAAUUCCCGGUGUAGCGGUGAAAUGCUUAGAUAUGACAUAGAACACCAAUUGCGAAGGCAGCUGGCUACACGAAAUAUUGACACUGAUGCACGAAAAGCGUGGGGGAUCAAACAGG
rnacentral:rRNA from 1 species